rnacentral:rRNA from 1 species
UACGUAGGGGGCUAGCGUUGUCCGGAAUCAUUGGGCGUAAAGCGCGUGUAGGCGGUCCGGUAAGUCCGCUGUGAAAGUCGGGGGCUCAACCCUCGGAUGCCGGUGGAUACUGCAGGGCUAGAGUCCGGAAGAGGCGAGUGGAAUUCCUGGUGUAGCGGUGAAAUGCGCAGAUAUCAGGAGGAACACCGAUAGCGAAGGCAGCUCGCUGGGACGGUACUGACGCUGAGGCGCGAAAGCGUGGGGAGC